UAUGUGAUCGUCUCUCGCAUAUCAAUAAGCGGAGGAAAAGAAACUAACAAGGAUUCCCCUAGUAACGGCGAGUGAAGCGGGAAGAGCUCAAAUUUGAAAUCUUAAAGGGUUUCCCUUUACGAAUUGUAGUUUAAAGAAGUGUUUUCUGUUGAGGUUUUGGUAAAAGUUCUUUGGAAUAGGACAUCAUAGAGGGUGAGAAUCCCGUAUUUGACCUUUACUUUCAACUUUGUGAUACACUUUCAAAGAGUCGGAUUGUUUGGGAAUGCAGUCCAAAAUGGGUGGUAAAUUUCAUCUAAAGCUAAAUAUUGGCGAGAGACCGAUAGCGAACAAGUACCGUGAGGGAAAGAUGAAAAGAACUUUGAAAAGAGAGUUAAACAGUACGUGAAAUUGUCAAAAGGGAAGCGUUUGACACCAGUGUUGUUUUUCUGAAAAUCAAUUAAAGAACUGUUUAUGCUAAGUUGUUUAGACUUUAUCAGCUAUCUGUUUAGUUUUGAGCUUUUCUUUAAUGCACUUUUCAGUUAACAAGUCAACAUCAAUUUCUUUUGCUGUAAAAAAGCUUGAGGAAGGUGGCUUGAGAUUCGUCUUAAGUGUUUAUAGCCUCUUGCCUAUGCAGUCGGAGAGAUUGAGGUCUGCAGCGUAGAUCCUUCGGGGCUAAAUGCAUUUGUGCUAAGUUAUAACAUUUUAUAGACAACUUGUUGACUAUGAUUUGUCUUGUAGCUUACUCGCUUAUGUUAUUUUACCUACGCUUAGGAUGUUGAGUCGUAGAGCACGCAG
rnacentral:rRNA from 1 species